rnacentral:rRNA from 1 species
GAUGAACGCUGGCGGCGUGCUUAACACAUGCAAGUCGAGCGAGAAGUUUUUAACAGUUUCUUCGGAUGAAAUUUAAAAUGGAAAGCGGCGGACUGGUGAGUAACGCGUAUGCAACCUUCCCCAUACAAAGGGAUAGCAUUUGGACACGAAUAUUAAUACCUUAUGAUACUUAACUAGUGCAUGCUAGGUAGUUCAUAGAUUUUUCGGUUUGGGAUGGGCUUGCGUCUGAUUAGCUAGUUGGUGAGGUAACGGCUCACCAAGGCGACGAUCAGUAACCGACCAGAGAAGGUGAAAGGACAAAAGGGAACUGAGACACAGACAAAAAACAUACGGGAGGGAGCAGAGGGGAAAAAUGCAAAAGGGGGGAAAAACUGAAGCAGCAACGCGGCGGGAAAGAGGAAGGCCGUUGGGGAGUAAAGUUAGGUUAUAGGAGAUGAAAACUGACAGUAACAUAGGAGAAAGCCCCGGCUAACUACGUG